AUUGAACGCUGGCGGCAUGCCUUACACAUGCAAGUCGAACGGCAGCACGGGAGCAAUCCUGGUGGCGAGUGGCGAACGGGUGAGUAAUAUAUCGGAACGUGCCCAGUAAUGGGGGAUAGCCCGGCGAAAGCCGGAUUAAUACCGCAUACGACCUACGGGUGAAAGCGGGGGAUCGCAAGACCUCGCGUUAUUGGAGCGGCCGAUAUCAGAUUAGGUUGUUGGUGGGGUAAAAGCCCACCAAGCCGACGAUCUGUAGCUGGUCUGAGAGGACGACCAGCCACACUGGGACUGAGACACGGCCCAGACUCCUACGGGAGGCAGCAGUGGGGAAUUUUGGACAAUGGGCGCAAGCCUGAUCCAGCCAUGCCGCGUGUGGGAAGAAGGCCUUCGGGUUGUAAACCACUUUUGUCAGGGAAGAAACGGCUUUUUCUAAUAAAGAGAGCUAAUGACGGUACCUGAAGAAUAAGCACCGGCUAACUACGUGCCAGCCGCCGCCGUAAAAC
rnacentral:rRNA from 1 species